UCGUAACAAGGUUUCCGUAGGUGAACCUGCGGAAGGAUCAUAGU
rnacentral:rRNA from 1 species